rnacentral:lncRNA from 1 species
GCAAAGUAGAAAGAAAAUAACGGGCCAUUGACAAUAGAAAAGGGUGGAAUGAAAUCUGUUUAAAAAGAACUUUUUUUCUUUCAAAUAUUUCAGAGAUUUCAUGGACCUUUAAUCAUUGUUAUCUACCUUUUGGAUUUCUGGACUCUGAAAAUGUCCUUCAGAGUGACCUUGAGGAGGGACCACCAGUCUAGAAAGUGAAAUCGAUAGGAAGUGGAAGCUCAUUCAUCUUCUGGAGACGGGGAUAAACUUAGUUACUCUCACACCACACUCAACCACUACUCCAACUUCAAUCCUGAGAAAGAACACCCCCUCUCAAACAUCAAGAUCGUUAUACAGAAUGUCCAAGGCAAAUUAAGGAAAAUAAUUAUUGUAGCUGAUGAAGCAGAAACCCUAUUAGAGCUAAAUGCUACUUCACAGUACUCAGUGGUGGAGGUUCUGAAGUAAGUGCAUUUUUCAGCAUCUUUAGUGAGUAUAUUAAAUUAAGUUUUUAACCACUUUUCUCCUCCCCUUUAUUUUCCUUUCUACCCUCCUCCUCUUUGUGAAGUUUCUCAGGCAGAUGGGACAGGGUUGGAAUCUGUAGAACGUGCUACAAGAAAGGAA